GAUGAACGCUGGCGGCGUGCCUAAUACAUGCAAGUCGAGCGAACGGACGAGAAGCUUGCUUCUCUGAUGUUAGCGGCGGACGGGUGAGUAACACGUGGAUAACCUACCUAUAAGACUGGGAUAACUUCGGGAAACCGGAGCUAAUACCGGAUAAUAUUUUGAACCGCAUGGUUCAAAAGUGAAAGACGGUCUUGCUGUCACUUAUAGAUGGAUCCGCGCUGCAUUAGCUAGUUGGUAAGGUAACGGCUUACCAAGGCAACGAUGCAUAGCCGACCUGAGAGGGUGAACGGCCAGACUGGAACUGAGACACGGUCCAGACGCCUACGGGAGGCAGCAGAAGGGAAUCUUGCGCGAUGGGCGAAAGCAUGACGGAGCAACGCCGCGUGAGUGAUGAAGGUCUUCGGAUCGUAAAAAUCUGUUAUUAGGGAAGAACAUAUGUGUAAGUAACUGUGAACAUCAUGACGGUACCUAAUCAGAAAGCCACGGCUAACUACGUG
rnacentral:rRNA from 1 species